AAACUUGAUGAUGAGGACCUCGUGUCCUACAUACUUGCUGGACUCGACGCCGACUUUGAUCCGGUGGUCUCAGCAGUCGCAGCCCGUGUUGAACCCAUCUCCGUCGGUGAGCUAGUCAUCCAACUGACAAGCUUCGAGC
rfam:Leersia perrieri chromosome 10, whole genome shotgun sequence.